rnacentral:rRNA from 1 species
AGAGUUUGAUCAUGGCUCAGGAUGAACGCUAGCGGCAGUAAUACAUGCAAGUCGAGGGGCAGCACGAAUAGCAAUAUUUGGUGGCGACCGGCAAACGGGUGCGGAACACGUACGCAACCUUCCCAAAACAGGUGAAUAGCCCUCCGAAAGNNGAUUAAUACACCGUGAGAUAUAGAUGUGGCAUCACAUUAAUAUUAUAGGUAGCAAUACCGGUUUUGGAUGGGCGUGCGCCUGAUUAGGUAGUUGGUGCGGGUAACGGCCCACCAAGCCUCCGAUCAGUAACUGGUGUGAGAGCACGACCAGUCACACGGGCACUGAGACACGGGCCCGACUCCUACGGGAGGCAGCAGUAAGGAAUAUUGGUCAAUGGACGGAAGUCUGAACCAGCCAUGCCGCGUGAAGGAUGACUGCCCUCUGGGUUGUAAACUUCUUUUAUCUGGGACGAAAAAAGGGCUUUUUAGCUCACUUGACGGUACCAGAGGAAUAAGCACCGGCUAACUCCGUGCCAGCAGCCGCGGUAAUACGGAGGGUGCAAGCGUUAUCCGGAUUUACUGGGUUUAAAGGGUGCGUAGGUGGGCAGGAAAGUCAGUGGUGAAAUCUCCGGGCUUAACCCGGAAACUGCCAUUGAUACUAUUUGUCUUGAAUACUUUGGAGGUAAGCGGAAUAUGUCAUGUAGCGGUGAAAUGCUUAGAUAUGGCACAGAACACCGAUCGCGAAGGCAGCUCACAAAACUGUAACUGACGCUGAGGCACGAAAGCGUGGGGAUCAAACAGGAUUAGAUACCCUAGUAGUCC